rnacentral:rRNA from 1 species
ACACUCCUGCGGGAGGCAGCAGUGGGGAAUAUUGGACAAUGGGCGCAAGCCUGAUCCAGCCAUGCCGCGUGAGUGAUGAAGGCCCUAGGGUUGUAAAGCUCUUUCACCGGUGAAGAUAAUGACGGUAACCGGAGAAGAAGCCCCGGCUAACUUCGUGCCAGCAGCCGCGGUAAUACGAAGGGGGCUAGCGUUGUUCGGAUUUACUGGGCGUAAAGCGCACGUAGGCGGACUAUCAAGUCAGGGGUGAAAUCCCGGGGCUCAACCCCGGAACUGCCUUUGAUACUGGUAGUCUUGAGUUCGAGAGAGGUGAGUGGAAUUCCGAGUGUAGAGGUGAAAUUCGUAGAUAUUCGGAGGAACACCAGUGGCGAAGGCGGCUCACUGGCUCGAUACUGACGCUGAGGUGCGAAAGCGUGGGGAGCAAACAGGAUUAGAAACCCCAGUAGUCCC